CCUACGGGAGGCAGCAGUGAGGAAUAUUGGUCAAUGGGCGCUAGCCUGAACCAGCCAAGUAGCGUGAAGGAUGACUGCCCUAUGGGUUGUAAACUUCUUUUAUAUGGGAAUAAAGUGCAGCAUGUAUACUGCUUUGCAUGUACCUUCUGAAUAAGGAUCGGCUAACUCCGUGCCAGUAGCCGCGGUAAUACGGAGGAUCCCAGCGUUAUCCGGAUUUAUUGGGGUUAAAGGGAGGGUAGGCGGGUUGUUAAGUCAGUUGUGAAAGUUUGCGGCUCAACCGUAAUAUUGCAGUUGAUACUGGCAGCCUUGAGUACAGUAGAGGUAGGCGGAAUUCGUGGGGUAGCGGUGAAAUGCUUAGAUAUCACGAAGAACUCCGAUUGCGAAGGCAGCCUGCUGGACUGUAACUGACGCUGAUGCUCGAAAGUGUGGGUAUCAAACAGGAUUAGAUACCCUUGUAGUC
rnacentral:rRNA from 1 species